ACGUAGGGUGCGAGCGUUAAUCGGAAUUACUGGGCGUAAAGCGUGCGCAGGCGGUGAUGUAAGACAGAUGUGAAAUCCCCGGGCUUAACCUGGGAACUGCGUUUGUGACUGUAGGGCUUGAGUGCGGCAGAGGGGGGUGGAAUUCCACGUGUAGCAGUGAAAUGCGUAGAGAUGCGGAGGAACACCGAUGGCGAAGGCAGCCUCCUGGGAUGACACUGACGCUCAUGCACGAAAGCGUGGGGAGCAAACAG
rnacentral:rRNA from 1 species